AUACAGAGGGUGCAAGCGUUAUUCGGAAUUACUGGGCGUAAAGCGCGCGUAGGCGGAUGAUUAAGUCAGUUGUGAAAGCCCUGGGCUCAACCUAGGAACUGCAUCUGAUACUGGUCAUCUAGAGUUGAAGAGAGGGAAGUGGAAUUCCAGGUGUAGCAGUGAAAUGCGUAGAUAUCUGGAGGAACAUCAGUGGCGAAGGCGACUUCCUGGCUUAGAACUGACGCUGAGGUGCGAAAGCGUGGGUAGCGAACGGGAUUAGAAACCCUAGUAGUCC
rnacentral:rRNA from 1 species